rnacentral:rRNA from 1 species
CGGAUUGUAAACUUCUGUUAAGCGGGACGGAAUAACGUGUUAGUAAUAACAGCAAGGUGGAUGACGGUACCGCUAGAGAAAGCACCGGCUAACUUCGUGC